rnacentral:lncRNA from 1 species
GCUGAGGAAGUUGCCUCUCUCUGGCGCCUGCAUUCAAUGAACGUUUGUAAUGUUAGCAGGUGUGGACCUUGAGGAGAUUUUCUCUCCCUGGCUGCCCAAUUAUCAUUUUUAGAGAGGCAAUGCGAUAAUUGCUGAACGAUGUCACCUGACAUUCCUAGCGGGUGGGAGAGAGCCCUCUCCUGCCCCGCUCAUUGCCUAACUACCUGUAACAGGUGUGUGGGUGAGUGCUCCCUGUGAUGGAACGGUGUCCUGUUCAGGACUGGGUGCCACCUGGCACCUUGAGCUGCCAGGACCGGCUCGGGCUGCUCGCGAUCCCAAACUAGAACAAAUGGAAAUGUUCAGUUGUCUAGCUCACAGGGAUAUCCACAAGCCAGACCCAGAAAGCCUUUGCUACCAUUGAUGAAGAUGCCAAGUCCACAGCCCAACAGCCAGAAGACCCUUGGUCUAGUCAAACUCCCCAUCCCCAGGAAAUGGAAUCCAAGUUAAAGACGUGUGUGCAGGUGGCUUAUUGGAAGGUGAAGCAAACAGGGCCCUUGGAUUCAGACUGAAUUGAUAUCGCCAGGUUUCCUGUCUUUUCAGCUUGCAGGCAGCUGAUUGUGGGACUUCUCAGCCUCCUUAAUCAUGACUAGUGGCCUUGUGAGAAGAGAGAGCAACACCAGCAAUGCACAUGCAAAGAGGAAAGGCCCUGCAAGGAUGCUAAGAACGAGGACGGCCAUCCGCCCACCAAGGAGAGAAGUAUCAGGAGGAACAAACCGGCCAACACCUUGAUCUUGGACUUCCAGCCUCCAGAACUGUCCGCAGCUUGGGCUACCUUCCAGCAUAAAGUCACUAAAGAUGUGCCGGGCAUGAUGAAGGAAGAAAGCGACUACAUGCUGAAGGAGAUGGUGCGGGGACUCGCUAGUACCUAUUGGCAGGACCUGGGGAACUUUGGUGGGUGCUUGAUAAUGGGGACUGGAAUAAAAACUGGCUAAGC